GUUCAUACUCCUGACUCCAGCAGAUAUCGGAUUGCUAAUUCAUACGAAGAUAGAUUCAUAUCUGGCCUUGAACCUGAAAAUGUUGAUAAGGAGUUUUUAAGGCUUUGGUUCAAGAACAACUGCAAUCCAUAUGAAGACACGGUUCUGCCAGAAGCUCCAGAAGAGUUGGUAUGUUAGUUGGCCUGGCGGUAUGUAUCUCUAUAAGUUUCUGUCGUUGUUUCUCACUUCAAAGCUGAUAUUCAUGAGGCCUUAUCGUCUGAA